rnacentral:rRNA from 1 species
UACGUAGGGAGCGAGCGUUAUCCGGAUUUAUUGGGUGUAAAGGGUGCGUAGACGGGCUUGUAAGUUAGUUGUGAAAUCCCUCGGCUCAACUGAGGAACUGCAACUAAAACUGUAAGUCUUGAGUGCAGGAGAGGUAAGUGGAAUUCCUAGUGUAGCGGUGAAAUGCGUAGAUAUUAGGAGGAACACCAGUGGCGAAGGCGACUUACUGGACUGUAACUGACGUUGAGGCACGAAAGUGUGGGGAGCAAACAGG